UACGGAGGGGGCUAGCGUUGUUCGGAAUUACUGGGCGUAAAGCGCACGUAGGCGGCUUUGUACGUUAGAGGUGAAAGCCCGGAGCUUAACUCCGGAACUGCCUUUAAGACUGCAUCGCUCGAAUCAUGGAGAGGUCAGUGGAAUUCCGAGUGUAGAGGUGAAAUUCGUAGAUAUUCGGAAGAACACCAGUGGCGAAGGCGACUGACUGGACAUGUAUUGACGCUGAGGUGCGAAAGCGUGGGUAGCAAACAGG
rnacentral:rRNA from 1 species